GUCAAUAUAAAAAUUAUAGGUGCCCAUUUUAGGGAGAAUAGGGAAUGGAGUGGAAAUCUCCAGCGGACCCGCCACUGUAAAGGGGAGCCUUUAAACACUAUGCCACUGGAUAUUAAUCUGGGAAGGCGUUUGAAGGUGUUGAACCUGAGCCAGGAGACCUGCCUAUAAUUUAUUGACUCA
rnacentral:ncRNA from 2 species